GGUGAACGCUGGCGGCGUGCUUAAGACAUGCAAGUCGAACGGCAGUCUUCGGACUGUAGUGGCGCACGGGUGAGUAACGCGUAACUGACCUACCCCAAAGUCGCGGAUAACGAUUCGAAAGAAUCGCUAAUACGUGAUGUGCUGUCAGAUUGUGUUCUGCCAGUAAAGAUUGAUUGCUUUGGGAUGGGGUUGCGUUCCUUCAGCUAGUUGGUGGGGUAAAGGCCCACCAAGGCGACGACGGAUAGCCGGCCUGAGAGGGUGGCCGGCCACAGGGGCACUGAGACACGGGUCCCACUCCUACGGGAGGCAGCAGUUAGGAAGCUUCCACAAUGGGCGAAAGCCUGAUGGAGCGACGCCGCGUGAGGGAUGAAGGUCUUCGGAUCGUAAACCUCUGAAUCAGGGACGAAAGACACUUCGGUGGGAUGACGGUACCUGAGUAAUAGCACCGGCUAACUCCGUGCCAGCCGCCGCAGUAACAC
rnacentral:rRNA from 1 species